rnacentral:rRNA from 1 species
UACAGAGGGUGCAAGCGUUGUUCGGAAUUAUUGGGCGUAAAGCGCGUGUAGGCGGCUUUGCAAGUCGGGUGUGAAAGCCCUCAGCUCAACUGAGGAAGUGCGCCCGAAACUGCAGAGCUUGAGUACCGGAGAGGGUGGCGGAAUUCCCCAAGUAGAGGUGAAAUUCGUAGAUAUGGGGAGGAACACCCGUGGCGAAGGCGGCCCACUGGGCCGGUGCUGACGCUGAGGCGCGAAGGCGUGGGGAGCGAACGGG